rnacentral:lncRNA from 1 species
UCCUCCGAUCAUCCAUCCUCCGCCGGAUCUCGUCGGAAAGACCCAAAUACGCCAGCUGCCACCAUUUUCUCUCUCCAGCGGAUCUUCCGUUUCCGGCCACCACUGUCGACACCGCCGCCGCCAAAACAAAGCCGAGGCCGAGAGGAGUCGAUCGGCACCAAGAUCAGCGACCACCGACGCCGGAAACGCCCGCACGGCGGCAAGGAAGCUUCGGCCAUCUUCCUCCUCGCGCGAGAGCUGCUGCCGUCGCCCGCUGGUGCCGCUGCCGCUGACGCCUACAGCUUCGCCGGCCAGCCCCGAGCCCCGGACAGACUGCCCGACGCCGCAGCUCCU